AGCGGGACAUUUGAAGAUGGGGUGACUGCGUACCUUUUGUAUAAUGGGUCAGCGACUUAUAUUCUGUAGCAAGGUUAACCGAAUAGGGGAGCCGUAGGGAAACCGAGUCUUAACUGGGCGAAUGAGUUGCAGGGUAUAGACC
rnacentral:rRNA from 1 species